rnacentral:lncRNA from 1 species
AUGUUGUAUAUUAAAACAUCUACAGCUGAAUAUUAAAUAUAUUUUCUCUCCCUUAAGAUUUUUAAAAUAACAUUUUCUUUCUCUAGCUUACUUUAUUGUAAGAAUAGAGUACAUAAUACAUAUAACGGAGGAAAUAUGUAUUAACUGACGGUUUAUGUUAUUGGUAAGGCUUCUGGUCAUCAAGCCUCAGAGGAAAUAGGCAGGGCUUCUGCUUCCCAAGAGAGACUCCCACCCGCCCCAUCACUUCUUUCUCUGAUGCCAUUUCUUUCCGAUUCAAAUUUCUAAACCCUUUGGAGACACGAAACAGCCUUAAAACACAAGAACAAGAACA